ACCCUUCCGAGCUUGUUCCUCUAGCCACCCACUCGUCUCCUCCUCCUCCUCCUCUCUCUCUCUUCUAGCUUCCUCCUCCUUCCUGAUCUCUGCGUCGGCCGGACCGCGAGAGGAGCGGUGGUGGCGGAGACGCUCCGGUGGCGGCAUCGAGUUGCGAACCCCAGGAACCAGGUCUGGGGGUUCGGUUCCAAGGCGCGGAUGGCUUCUCCGCCUAUGACGCCGAGGGCAAGUGCACACCCCAGUCCCCUCCUCCUGGGCGAACCCUACGAGAGAGAGAGGAAGAUGAGAGGGAGGGAGAGAGAAUGACCGGCGUCGGCCUGCGCCGGCGAGGACGGGCGCGACUUGGAGGUUGGCCGCUACUCGAUCUGCUCUUGGAUCGGGAGCUUUGACGAAGCUGGGGUUCGGGCGCAUUGCACCGGAGGCUGCACUCCACCUCUUCCUCGUGAAUUUGUUGUCUGACCGUCCAAGGAACUGGCUCACCUCGCUAUGGAAUUAGGAGAAGUCAGUUACUUCGUCUUAGCUCUGUUCAGAGAUCUAAAAGACUAUCAGGAUACACAAAAUUGAUUUGAAUUCUGAAAGUACGUGUUGUUCUAUGUUCUUGGGCACGUAGCAAGCUUAGGAAAAACACUGAAGUGAGUAUGCAAGAUAACUUCAGGCAAAGUGUACAGAGGCUGCAGCUGAAGCCAAAUUUUGAAGGUUGCAAGUUGGUUUCUGCUGGAACAAUCACUGAAAUUGGUGAGAGUUUAUCUCACAUGUGCCGCUCACUGAUGAGAAGUAGAUUGAAGUGACUGGUGCUAGAGAAGAAGGAGCGACCGGGAAAGUACACCAGUGAUACCCUGCCAGGCGAGCAGAAGGAAGCUAAGCAGAUGCUCCUUAUAAUCCCUAAGAAGCAAAGAGGGAGCAAAAGAACAGGUCCGCUUAAAGGAUCUUGCUCGCCGGCCUCAUCUUUUUCUUCAGGUUAGUAGUACGUCGUUUCUGCGGCAAGAUGAGCUUACCCAUUAAAUUUGUUCAAUCCAAGGUUAAGAUUCAUAUCCCUUCAACUAUAAUUUGAACAUUUAGCCUUUUUCCGCUCAUUACAAUUAACUGCAUCUAAACACACCAUACUCGCAUCUGUUGAACUCUACUGUACUCGCAUCUGCUGUCCUCUCUCUGUUUUCUUUACCUCUCUUCUAUUGACUAUUUAUUCAUGACUGUGUGCCAGCUUUGUACUUCGUGGAUUAAUUCCUCUAAUGCAAUAAAGUCUCUAGACAUUUUAUUCUUCAUAUGUCUGCCCUGUGGGCUUGCUGUGUCUUCUUUCUAGGUUUUACAAAGUAGAAAUGGCCCUUUCUAAUUUGAUCUUCACGAUCCAUUGAUCACCCCUCUUGUUUCCUGCUCCUUGGGGGUCCGGAUUAAAAAAUGCCUCUUGCUUACAGAACAAGAUUCUUGGUACUCCUUAUAGUGCCUAUUUGAGCUUCUUCUUCAAUGUUCCCAUGCGGGCCCAAAUAAUUGAUGUGUUGCUUAUUUAUUGGUGCUCCUUUUGUUGGUCCUUUGGGCCGCCCCUCUCUUUUAUUACAGAUUUAUUUUACAUGGGGUUUACAGGGCUUUGGGUUUUUGGGGCUUAUAAUUCUUCAUGGGCUUUUUGAAAGAUGUGUCUUGGGUUUUGCUUCUUGGGCUUGCUCUGUAGGACAGUGCGAUUUCUUUUCAUAGAAUGUUGUCAUCUAUAUCUUGCUGAAGUACAAAACUAUUGGUCAGUUAAUUCUCUCACUCAUCAAUUUACAAAUUCAGUAUUUUAUUUCACAUGGGGCUUGGCUGGUUUACGUUUAAUUCAUGCAUCAUAUAUGUUGUUUAGUUCAGACUUGUGCAUGUGCAUGCAUUGGAAUUGAUUUAACAAAGAUAUAGCAUGAUUCUGUACAUAAAAAUAGUAUGAGUAUGCAUGAUCUAUGAAUAAAUGCUCGGAUAUAGUUAGUCGUGAGAUAGUAGGAGUACCAUGGGCUUACAACUUCUGGAUAUCAUUAAUAAUUAAUGGCCUGUAGUUGUUCAAAAAUCUGGAAUGUCUUUCAAGAACUGUUGAUCAAUGUUGUUAUGAGUAUUUCUCAGAGUUUUGGUUGCAUGUAUGUACAUUAGAAUAGCAGAGGUUCUUAUUUUACUUUGUCCAGAAGAGGGGAUUUUACUUAUUUUUGUUCACAAUUUUUAUCUAACUUUCUAUCAGCACCAACGACCACAAUGGGAUGGAUCAAGCAGCCAAGACUCAGAGUGUGGUCGACAAUGCGGCUCUUCCAGCACUGAAGUUAUGUCUUUUGGGCCAAUUUCAAUUGCCUCACUACCUUCACACAUGGAUCCUGUAGGUAUUUCCUAAUGUAAGUGUCACUGUUUUUCUUCUUUAUGUACCUGGACGGGAGUGCUCAUGAGGAUGACGACAUGCUACUGAACUCAAAUUCAGAAAUGAAGUUGGGGGCCUGGGGUUUGGAGCCCCUCAGUAGAAGUGCUCAGGCGGCAUUUCACAGUUGUUUGCUGAGAAUUUAACAAGAACAAAUUUUGCUUGUCUCUAGCAUUAGGCUAUGAGCCCUAAAGCAGUUCCAGUGUGAUGAGCUACCUCUUGACUAGGAAGGGGGGAUUGAAAGAUAGCACUUGUCAUUUGAAGCAAUUAGUAUUGGACUAUUUGAGGAAGUAAAUGUUUAAACCACUAAACCUUAUAUUCUUUUGUAAAAAGGAGGGUGCAGAUAAAUAAGAGUUGUUGGCAGCAGCAACCUACACGUGUGGAAACAGUGGCUAUGGCGGCUCAAAGGGAAGUUGUGGCCGCUAGACAGCAACCCACAACUUAGUGGCGACUCAAAGUACAUAUAAUCUAUUUCUUCUUGGAGCUAUCUACUAUAAUAUUAUGACUCGGUGCUAGCUGAAGCUUCUAUUUUCUCGCCUUUUGUGGUGGCGGUUAUUCCUCUUGUUGCAACCUUUUCCCAUAGAAUCAAAGGGAAUUAGAUUGAAGAAAUUACAGGAGAGCAGGAAGGGUAUUCCUGGUGUGACAUUCAAAAGCAGUCAAAACGGUGAGGUUUAGAACGGAGGAUCUCCGUGGAAUUAUGGAUAAAAAAUUAUCCAUAACAUGUCUGUCAUUGCUCAUGUCGACCAUGGUAUGUGACCAAUCAGUGGCAGUUGUCUCUAAUCAUCAAUUUUAUAUAGUCUUCUUGAUUGAUGAUUUUGUAGCCUUCUCUUAGUUGUACCAUAUUAAUUCUUAAAACUGGAUCAUUUAAAAUUAGUUAGAUUUAAUGAGUUGUUUCACUGUUUUCAAAUAAGUAGUUUAAGCCCUUAUUGCGUUCUGGAGCUUAUUCUUUCUGCCUUUUUAUGAUUGAUUUAUGCUCUCACAAGCUUAAAUGUAACUAUUGACAUAUAAUCUCAUGGCUCAAAGUCUUAGUUGUUGAAUGUAUUAAAAUUUAUAAGAUCUGGAGUUUGCACUAUAAUUUCAUCCAGCGGUAUUCCCAGUAUCCCAGGUUGUACAUUCAGGUACUGGGAAAUGCUUUUAUCGAAAUUCUAGGAGGAUGUAAAUUACCCUUUCUUUCCAAUGCAAUGAAACGCAAAAGCCAUUUGCGUUUUCUCGAAAAAAAUGCUUUUAUCUUGCAGGCCAGUUUUACAUUUAUUUUUCAGUAACGAGAUGAACAUGAAUAGGGUAUCAAGGUAUUUGCCUUGGCAUUACUAACAUCGUGUUCAGAUUACUAAAAGAAGGAUUGAUAGCGGCAUACCUUAACUCGACUGAUGCUUUAACUGCUGCCUCUCUAAGCUUUGAUUAGCCAUGGAGAUACUCAAGUUCCAAAGCCCCAAGUGAGGCUAUCCUUCUGAGAUCCGUUCAUCCCAGUUCAUUAAUUUGUUUGAAAUAUAUAUAUGUAUAUUCCAAUAUUGCUCAAUCUCCAGCUGGCUUCUAGGUUAUCAGAUGAAAUCCGGUUAAAUUUUAGGGAGGUUGAGUAGGAGUGUUUGGAAAUAAAGGCUUUGUUGUUGUUGUUGUUUGAGUAGGAGUAUCUCCCUUUUCUGUAUAAAUUUUGUUGCUAUGAAUAGUUGCAUUGUUAUAUCACUGAAAAGUUCCUGGGCGUAGUAUGUGUUCCUCUAGACUUGGUUGAAAGUAUUCCUUCUGUUAUCCAGUUUCUCACUACGCAUGUUACCUUUGUUGCUAAGUUUUGCCUAUAGUUUAUGUAUAGUAGACUCACAUGAUUACCUGAUGACUCAUUCAUGCAAGAACUAUUGUUAAUUUUUUCCUUUUCUGCAAUGAUGGUCGUAGCCCUUUGACUGUACAAGCCGCAAAGGAGUGAAGCAUAGAAAAUAUGUCCAUUGUCGUUGAAUUGGUGGGAUUGUCACCAAGUUAGUGCUGCAGAUUUCUUUUUAGAGCAAGAAGCCAAAUCAUGUAGUUCAUUGUAAAUCUUGAAAAACUUGUUUAUUGUCACUUCUAUAUCUGUUAUAAACAUUUUUUCGUGAUGUGGUACUUGUCAAUCUUGGUUUGCCCUUCCA